ACAACAUUUAGACAGUUGGUCUACCGAGCAAUAUCACCUACUCGGUGGAAGAUCUUUCCCUUCGUCGU
rnacentral:pre_miRNA from 1 species